rfam:Myotis brandtii contig132152, whole genome shotgun sequence.
GGCGGUUCUCGGGUGACACACCCCCAGAAUCGGGCUCCCUCCUCUCUGGCUCUGGGUGUGUCACCCGAGAACUGCA